UACGUAGGGGGCAAGCGUUGUCCGGAUUUAUUGGGCGUAAAGAGCGUGUAGGCGGCCAGGUAGGUCCGUUGUGAAAACUCGAGGCUCAACCUCGAGACGUCGAUGGAAACCAUCUGGCUAGAGUCCGGAAGAGGAGAGUGGAAUUCCUGGUGUAGCGGUGAAAUGCGCAGAUAUCAGGAAGAACACCGGUGGCGAAGGCGGGUCUCUGGGCAGUAACUGACGCUGAGGAGCGAAAGCGUGGGGAGCGAACAGG
rnacentral:rRNA from 1 species